rnacentral:tRNA from 1 species
GGUCGCGUAGCUCAAUUGGUCAGAGCGCGUGCCUUACAAGCACGAGGUUCCCCGUUCGAGCCGGGGCGCGACCA